UACGUAGGGGGCAAGCGUUGUUCGGAAUUACUGGGCGUAAAGGGCGCGUAGGCGCCUGUGCAAGUCAGUUGUGAAAUCUCCGAGCUUAACUCGGAACGGUCAACUGAUACUGCUCGGCUAGAGUGCGGAAGGGGCAACUGGAAUUCUUGGUGGUAGCGGUGAAAUGCGUAGAUAUCAAGAGGAACACCUGCGGCGAAGGCGGGUUGCUGGGCCGACACUGACGCUGAGGCGCGAAAGCUAGGGGAGCGAACGGG
rnacentral:rRNA from 1 species